rnacentral:rRNA from 1 species
GCUCAAUGAUUUUUUAAAUUGCUGUAGUAUUUUGACUAUACAAAGGUAUUGAAAUAAGAUUUUAAUUGAAUGCUAAGAGAAUGGAAGUCCAGAAAAAAACUUUUUUUAAAUUAAAAAUUGAAGUUUUUUUAAUUUGUGCAGAAACAAUUAUUUAUAUUAAAGACAAGAAGACCCUAUGAAUUUAUUAAAUUUUUAUUUAAUAUGUAAUUACUAUUAGAAAAAUUUUGGCGUGGGGCGGGCUAGAAACAUAUUAUGAACUUUUUAAAAAUAAAAUGAUCCAUUAUUAAUGAUUUUAUGUUAAAUACUCUAGGGAUAACAGCGUUAUAUUUUUUGAUAGAUCAUAUUGACAAAAAAGUUUGCGACCUCGAUGUUGGAUUAGGAUACUUUUUUAAUGAAGAUAUUAAAAAAAGAAGUUUGUUCAACUUUUAAUUUCCUACUUGAUCUGAGUUCAGACCGG